rnacentral:rRNA from 1 species
UACGUAGGAGGCGAGCGUUGUCCGGAUUUACUGGGCGUAAAGCGCGCGCAGGCGGCACACUAAGUACGAUGUGAAAUCUCCCUGCUCAACGGGGAGGGUGCAUAGUAAACUGGUGAGCUAGAGGACGGUAGAGGGGGUGGAAUUGCUGGUGUAGCGGUGAAAUGCGCAGAUAUCAGGAAGAACACCCGUGGCGAAGGCGGCUCUCUGGGACGGUACUGACGCUGAGACGCGAAAGCGUGGGGAGCGAACAGG